rnacentral:rRNA from 1 species
GACGAACGCUGGCGGCGUGCCUAAUACAUGCAAGUAGAACGCUGAAGGAGGAGCUUGCUUCUCUGGAUGAGUUGCGAACGGGUGAGUAACGCGUAGGUAACCUGCCUGGUAGCGGGGGAUAACUAUUGAAAACGAUAGCUAAUACCGCAUAAUAGUAGAUGUUGCAUGACAUUUGCUUAAAAGGUGCAAUUGCAUCACUACCAGAUGGACCUGCGUUGUAUUAGCUAGUUGGUGGGGUAACGGCUCACCAAGGCGACGAUACAUAGCCGACCUGGUAGGGGGAUCGGCCACACUGGGAAUGAGACACGGCCCAGACUCCUACGGGAGGCAGCAGUAGGGAAUCUUCGGCAAUGGACGGAAGGCUGACCGAGCAACGCCGCGUGAGUGAAGAAGGUUUUCGGAUCGUAAAGCUCUGUUGUAAGAGAAGAACGAGUGUGAGAGUGGAAAGUUCACACUGUGACGGUAUCUUACCAGAAAGGGACGGCUAACUACGUG